rnacentral:rRNA from 1 species
AUUGAACGCUGGCGGAAGGCCUAACACAUGCAAGUCGAGCGAGCGUCGGACGGGUGAGUAAUGUAUGGGGACUGCCCGAUAGAGGGGGAUAACUCCUUGAAACGGUGGAUAAUACCGCAUACUAUCGGAUAACCCAUAUGGGAUUAGCUAGUAGGUGGGGUAAAGGCUCACCUAGGCGACGAUCUCUAGCUGUGCUGAUAGGAUGAUCAGCCACACUGGGACGAAGACACGGACCACACUCCUACGGAGGCAGCAGUGGGGAAUAUUUCACAAUGGGCGCAAGCCUGAGGCAGCCAUGCCGCGUGUAUGAAGAAGGACUUAGGGUUGUAAAGUACUUUCAGCGGGGAGGCGUUACACGCAGAAGAAGCACCGGCUAACUCCGUGCCAGCAGCCGCGGUAAUUC